rnacentral:rRNA from 1 species
UACCAGCGGUCCAAGUCGCAUCCAUUUUUAUUGGGUCUAAAACAUCCGUAGCCUGUUAAGUAAGUCUCUUGUGAAAUCUGGCAUCUUAAGUGUCGGGCGUGCAAGAGAUACUACUUGGCUAGAGAUUGGGAGACGUAAGAAGUACAGUUAGGGUAGCGGUAAAAUGCGUUGAUCCUUUCUGGACUAACAAUAGCGAAGGCAUCUUACGAGAACAAAUCUGACGGUGAGGGAUGAAGGCUAGGGGCGCAAAACGGAUUAGAUACCCCCGUA